GUGGGGAAUAUUGGGCAAUGGGCGCAAGCCUGACCCAGCAACGCCGCGUGAAGGAAGAAGGCUUUCGGGUUGUAAACUUCUUUUGUCAGGGACGAGUAGAAGACGGUACCUGACGAAUAAGCCACGGCUAACUACGUGCCAGCAGCCGCGGUAAUACGUAGGUGGCAAGCGUUGUCCGGAUUUACUGGGUGUAAAGGGCGUGUAGCCGGGAGGGCAAGUCAGAUGUGAAAUCCACGGGCUUAACUCGUGAACUGCAUUUGAAACUGUUCUUCUUGAGUAUCGGAGAGGCAAUCGGAAUUCCUAGUGUAGCGGUGAAAUGCGUAGAUAUUAGGAGGAACACCAGUGGCGAAGGCGGAUUGCUGGACGACAACUGACGGUGAGGCGCGAAAGCGUGGGGAGCAAACAGGAUUAGAAACCCUAGUAGUCC
rnacentral:rRNA from 1 species